AACGAACGCUGGCGGCAUGCCUAACACAUGCAAGUCGAACGAGACCUUCGGGUCUAGUGGCGCCUGGGUGUGUAACGCGUCGGAACCUGCACUUAGGUUUGGCAUACCUACCCGACUGGGGUGCUUAUACCAGAUCAUGUCUUCGGACCAAAGAUUUUUCGCACUAGUUGGGGCCCGAGUUGGAUAAGCUAGUUGUUAGGGUAAUAGCUUAAUAAGGCGACGAUCCAUAGCUGGUUUGAGAGGCUGGGCAGCCACACUGAGACUAAGACACGGCCGAGACUCCUACGGGAGGCGGCAGAGGGGAAUAGAGGAAAGUGGGCUGAGGCCUGAUCCUGCAAUGCCGCGUGAGUGCUGAAGGCAGUGGAGUAGAAAAGCGCUUGUACCCGGGAAGAUAAUGACGGUACCGAGAGAAUAAGCCCCGGCUAACUCCGUG
rnacentral:rRNA from 1 species